UACGGAGGGUGCGAGCGUUGUCCGGAAUCACUGGGCGUAAAGGGCGCGUAGGUGGCGCGGGAAGUCAACGGUGAAAGUUCGGGGCUCAACCCUGAAUCGGCCGUCGAUACUCCCGGGCUCGAGCACUGUAGAGGCAGAUGGAAUUCCGGGUGUAGCGGUGAAAUGCGUAGAUAUGCGGAGGAACACCGAUGGCGAAGGCAAUCCCCUGGGCCUGCACUGACGCUCAUGCACGAAAGCGUGGGGAGCAAACAGG
rnacentral:rRNA from 1 species